AUGGCCAACAAAUCCACCUCUGAAGUUAACCAUGGCCAGCUACCCAAGACAUCGUCCACAUGCUUGACGGAGAGUGUCACUGCGGUGCAUGAUUUUGAGGUGGCCAGUUACCGUUUGCUGGAUGGCAUCGGCGUCGGCAAGCACGUUCGCUCAAGCACCUUCAGCGUGGGUGGCUUUGAAUGGUUUAUGAAUUUCUUCCCGGAUGGGAGGAUGGCAGACUACGCUGGCUAUGCAUCAGUCUUUCUGGACCGUGUCAUUCAACAGAAUGACACGCAUAAUGUCAGGACUAAGUUCAGCUUAAACAUGCUAGAGAAAGACAGCGAGGCACAAUUAACUAAAUGUGGUAAGAUGGGUCAUGUCUUUCCUCAGCAAAGUCAUAUUGGGGCUACUGCAGAUUUGUUGCGAAAGAGAAACUGA
rnacentral:rRNA from 1 species